AUGAAGGUCCGGGCGCAACUAAAAAAAAAAGAAGAAAUCGAGUUAGAAAUUGCGGGAGAUACGCAGAAAUUGGAUGAAUUGUUUCAGACUGAUAAUAAUCUUUAUUUGCCAGGAAGAGAAGACGUAAAAAAACAUGUAUGCAAUUUUGAAGAAAUUAUUAAUAAUGAACCAAAUUGCUUUCAAGUUUUCAGGGCAAGGAAAAAAAUAAGCUCUCUUUUAGUGAACUCACAAUUAACAAGGGUACAUUAUGUACCACACGGAAACGUCACAAAAACGCCAUAACUACUGAAAUUUAAAAAAUGGUAGGACCUUAUGUAGCGCAGACAAAAGCAAGAAUGAAUUCUCAUCAAAAAAAAACAUGAGGUAUGAUUUUUUUUAUUUUAAUUAAUUAUAUCGCUUUUCAAUGAAUUGGUUAUAGAGCAAAUAAUUAUUAAGUAAAUAUUUCUGUAUAACGAUUGAAAUGUAGCAGAACAUUGUUAUUUCCAUUGACAAUGUAUUUUUAUUUCAUUGUAAGUUGGCAGU